rnacentral:rRNA from 1 species
GACGAACGCUGGCGGCGUGCUUAACACAUGCAAGUCGAACGGUGAAGCGCCUUCCUUUUUGGUGGGUGUGGAUGAGUGGCGAACGGGUGAGUAACACGUAAGUAACCUGCCCCCUUCUUCUGGAUAACCGCAUGAAAGUGUGGCUAAUACGGGAUAUUCUGGGUCUGUCGCAUGAUGGGUCUGGGAAAGAUAUUGUUUCGGUGGGGGAUGGGCUCGCGGCCUAUCAGCUUGUUGGUGGGGUGAUGGCCUACCAAGGCGGUGACGGGUAGCCGGCCUGAGAGGGUGGACGGUCACACUGGGACUGAGACACGGCCCAGACUCCUACGGGAGGCAGCAGUGGGGAAUAUUGCACAAUGGGCGCAAGCCUGAUGCAGCGACGCCGCGGGAGGGAUGGAGGCCUUCGGGUUGUGAACCUCUUUCGCCAGUGAAGCAGGCCUGCCUCGUUUGUGGGUGGGUUGACGGUAGCUGGAUAAGAAGCGCCGGCUAACUACGUG